CCACAAAAAAUGUAGUGCAACAAUGGGAACAUGACUAAUAAAUAAUGGUGGUUUUUAAGAAUUAUACAUGUCCAUAAUAGACAACCAUAUUGAUGGACAAGACGCAGCGCCCAUGUUAACGGUGGCUAACGUACGGUACAAAUCUAAUUCUCUUUUUUCUUGGUUUUCUCACUCGUUAUAUUCUUCUAUUUUUUUUGCACACACUUUUUGAUUUAAAUGUUCAUUUUGGCCCUUAAAAAUUCAAGAAUACCGGAAUAGAUAAUUUGAUAUGCGGAAGGAUUCACACACGAGCGUCAUAUAUUUAAUUUUCAUUGUUUUUUACAAUAAAACAACUUCUCUAUCACUCUUUUAUUUCUUUUUUUUUUUUGCAACUUAUUUCUUAUUAUUGUGUGUUGAUUAUUUUUUUGUAGUUGUUUAAUUUUCUCCAGAUUUUACAUAUUUUAUACGAGUUGGUUUCAAAUCAAAAUUUGUGACAUACGACCAAUGCCGAUUGCAAAGAAUUGUAUAUUUUUUUAUAGUGCAGAUUUGUAACCAAAGAGACGAUUAAAGAGUAAAAGGAGAAAAUCACAAAAACACAGAGAGAUGACUUUUCAUGGAAAUUUCAUUAUACACUCUCCACCAAAGAAAACAAAUUUCAUCAAAACACGUUUUUCUUGAGCAACUUUCAUUCCAAAUGGCACCUAAGCAUGAUUCUGUUUCUGAUAUCUCACCUGCAAAAGAGAAUUGGAAUUUUAUUGUUAGAGUUGUACGUUUGUGGUACGUUAAAGACACGGUGAAAGACAAACUACCUUUCUCUAUAGAAAUGGUGCUAAUGGAUUCAAAAGGGUGAUCAUAUUCAUGCAACCGUUCGUCGAACGUUGAUCUACAAGUUCGACAAAGAACUGAAGGAGGACAAAAUAUUUUUUAUAUCGAAUUUUGGAAUUGCGUCAAAUGUUGGUUCAUAUCGAACCACAAGACAUCCUUAUAAGCUGACUUUCCAAUUUUCUACUAGAAUUAAAUUGUCUGAAUGUCGUUUUGUGCCAAAAAAAUUGUAUCUGAUUAAUAAUUUCGCUGAUAUUUUUACUGGUCAUUAUGAUACUGACUAUUUAGUUGG